UUUUCGGCAAUGGGGGGAACCCUGACCGAGCAACGCCGCGUGAAUGACGAAGUUCUUCGGAAUGUAAAGUUCUUUUAUUAGUGAAGAAUGGCAGAUGGAAAAAUCUGAAUGACGGUAACUAAUGAAUAAGCCCCGGCUAACUAUGUGCCAGCAGCCGCGGUAAUACAUAGGGGGCAAGCGUUAUCCGGAUUUACUGGGCGUAAAGGGUGCGUAGGUUGUUAUUUAAGUUCUUGGUGUAAGUGCAGUGCUCAACGCUGUGAUGCUAAGGAAACUGGAUAGCUAGAGUUAGAUAGAGGCAAGUGGAAUUCCAUGUGUAGCGGUAAAAUGCGUAAAUAUAUGGAGGAACACCAGUGGCGAAGGCGGCUUGCUGGGUCUAUACUGACGCUGAUGCACGAAAGCGUGGGGAGCAAACAGGA
rnacentral:rRNA from 1 species